rnacentral:tRNA from 1 species
UCGCGGGAUGGAGCAGCCCGGUAGCUCGUCAGGCUCAUAACCUGAAGGUCGUAGGUUCAAAUCCUACUCCCGCAACCAG